rnacentral:misc_RNA from 1 species
UGUUCUAACUACAUCAAUCUAGACUGCUGAUAGGAUGGAAAGUCACAAAAGUCUAAAAAUCCCAAAGAGAACUUGCACAAGCACUAAAAGACCGUUGGGGCUCAAACCCCAUUUGGCACCUAACCUCCAGUCUCCUCCAGAUCAAAACCGCUGGCAUGAGCUAAAGAGUGACGUAGAUAUGAAUCUAAUUUAAGAAAUGUUG